rnacentral:rRNA from 1 species
UAAAAAAAAAGAAGAUGGGGGUCCCCCCGCCAGACGACGCUGGCGGCGUGCCUAAUACAUGCAAGUCGAACGCUUCUUUCCUCCCGAGUGCUUGCACUCAAUUGGAAAGAGGAGUGGCGGACGGGUGAGUAACACGUGGGGUAACCUACCCAUCAGAGGGGGGAUAACACUUGGAAACAGGUGCUAAUACCGCAUAACAGUUUAUGCCGCAUGGCAUAAGAGUGAAAGGCGCUUUCGGGUGUCGCUGAUGGAUGGACCCGCGGUGCAUUAGCUAGUUGGUGAGGUAACGGCUCACCAAGGCCACGAUGCAUAGCCGACCUGAGAGGGUGAUCGGCCACACUGGGACUGAGACACGGCCCAGACUCCUACGGGAGGCAGCAGUAGGGAAUCUUCGGCAAUGGACGAAAGUCUGACCGAGCAACGCCGCGUGAGUGAAGAAGGUUUUCGGAUCGUAAAACUCUGUUGUUAGAGAAGAACAAGGACGUUAGUAACUGAACGUCCCCUGACGGUAUCUAACCAGAAAGCCACGGCUAACUACGUGCCAGCAGCCGCGGUAAUACGUAGGUGGCAAGCGUUGUCCGGAUUUAUUGGGCGUAAAGCGAGCGCAGGCGGUUUCUUAAGUCUGAUGUGAAAGCCCCCGGCUCAACCGGGGAGGGUCAUUGGAAACUGGGAGACUUGAGUGCAGAAGAGGAGAGUGGAAUUCCAUGUGUAGCGGUGAAAUGCGUAGAUAUAUGGAGGAACACCAGUGGCGAAGGCGGCUCUCUGGUCUGUAACUGACGCUGAGGCUCGAAAGCGUGGGGAGCAAACAGGAUUAGAUACCCUGGUAGUCCACGCCGUAAACGAUGAGUGCUAAGUGUUGGAGGGUUUCCGCCCUUCAGUGCUGCAGCAAACGCAUUAAGCACUCCGCAG